GGGGAUUUAGCUUAGCGGUAGAGCGCUUGCCUAGCAAGCGCAAGGCCCUGGGUUCAGUCCCCA
rnacentral:tRNA from 1 species